rnacentral:rRNA from 1 species
UACGUAGGGUGCGAGCGUUGUCCGGAAUUACUGGGCGUAAAGAGCUUGUAGGCGGUUUGUCGCGUCUGCCGUGAAAUUUCGGGGCUCAACCCCGAACUUGCGGUGGGUACGGGCAGACUAGAGUGUGGUAGGGGAGACUGGAAUUCCUGGUGUAGCGGUGAAAUGCGCAGAUAUCAGGAGGAACACCGAUGGCGAAGGCAGGUCUCUGGGCCACUACUGACGCUGAGAAGCGAAAGCAUGGGGAGCGAACAGG